CAACCAGUCACGUCCUGCGACUCAGCAGAACAGAUCGAGACUCGGAGAAGGGGACCUUCAGCUCUGCCUGCCCUGUCCUCGAGAUUGUUCCUUGAAAGACACCUGUGUGACCUGAGAGGUUGCCGUUGCUGUUGAGCAGUCAUGGAUAAAGGACAAUCAGAGGCACACGCCAACGUGACCCCUGUGAAAGCGUCCGAGAUGGAGCCCAAAAAACCAGUAAAACACCACCAGUCCUCCAACAACAUACUCAUUUACUUAUUCAACAGACAGCUGGGGAUACCCAGAAAUGAUGUGGAUCUCUCCCAGUGGAAGUGGAUGCUGAUGUGAGCAACCCAUUGGUGGAGUCGGCUGUGGAGAUAACAUGUCUUCUGUCUCCCUGGAAUGGCAAAAAAUUUAAAGAAAAUAUUUGAGCAAUAAAAGUCCCCCGUGUUGCAUGUGA